CCUGGCGGCCGUAGCGCGGUGGUCCCACCUGACCCCAUGCCGAACUCAGAAGUGAAACGCCGCAGCGCCGAUGGUAGUAUGGGGUCUCCCCAUGCGAGAGUAGGGAACUGCCAGGC
rnacentral:rRNA from 1 species